rnacentral:rRNA from 1 species
CUAAUACCGGAUACUCCUCGCCCCCCUCCCUGGGGGGCCCGGGGAAAGCCCAGACGGCAAGGGAUGGGGUCGCGGCCCAUUAGGUAGUAGGCGGGGUAACGGCCCACCUAGCCCGCGAUGGGUAGCCGGGUUGAGAGACCGACCGGCCACAUUGGGACUGAGACACGGCCCAGACUCCUACGGGAGGCAGCAUG